UUCUGAACGAGACUGAAGGAAGC
rnacentral:miRNA from 1 species